ensembl:lncRNA
AUUAACGCAAAAAAUCUUCGCUGGCUCUGAUAGUCUCGGCUGCCAUAUUUGGACAUGGCGUUUUUUUGUUUUUCUUUUUUUGCAUUUUCUCUCUUUCGCCUCGUGCAUAAUGUGCUGAGUUGCAGCUGUGAGGUCCAGCAGGCAGUGAGAAGAUGAGAAGUCCCAUAGUGAAGGAGGAUUAGCGUGCUUCUUCUCUGGCUUUCCAAGUAAAGUUCUGUGAUACACUCCGACUCUUAAUUGUUUGCAGUCAGUGCAUUACAGAACUUUGUUUUGAGAGUUUAAAGCUCUGGCCUGGAGGGAUCAAACUAUUACAUCUGGAGGGAGGGAUAACCACCCCACACAAGCCCCCUAGCAGCACUUAGCUCCAUCUCUCCCUUGCGGAUCACACACAAAUAAAACUGCUCAUUGUGACUGUCUUCCUUGAUAUCUCACUCAGUAGUUUGUAACAUCUGCGAUACAGUAACAUAAAAUAAAGAAAAGGCAUGUAAAGCACUGGCAAAGGUUUUGUAUUAGUAUGUAUACAAAUUAAUUAGCCAACAGUUUUCAAACAUAUCAUGUUCAUUUUGAUGUGACCAUAUUGCAGCCACCAGCAUAACUUCCAGUGGCCUUGUGUCUACAGAAAUAUACAUCAAGAAAACCAUAAAACAAUCAACUUGAGGAGUGUGUUGUGUCUAGUUGUGAGAAUUACCCUUCACCAGUCACUAUUCAACGUGUAAAGCAAAGCCCUGUAGUCUAAAGCUAUUAAAAUGGAGAGUGUGAGGUUUGGUGGGAGUUGUUACACAGUCAGACCCACAGGAGGCACACUACAGACUUAGUUGAUCUGAGAACAGUUUUGCCAUUUGACUUAAAUGGCUAAGGUGAACAUUUGGAUAAAUGGAGCUGCUCCUGUAACAGUGUCAAAGAUCAACUUCUACCCAGACUAGCACUUACCUGGCUUUCUGCUGAGGGUGUAUGACUCUACAGAAGAACAUAGGUAACAGGAGUAGAAGUAGGUUGCCACACCUCCCAGGCUUAACAUACUCAACCCACAUUGCAGUUCC